UACGUAGGGUGCAAGCGUUGUCCGGAAUUAUUGGGCGUAAAGAGCUCGUAGGCGGUUUGUCGCGUCUGCUGUGAAAACUCGGGGCUUAACUCCGGGCCUGCAGUGGGUACGGGCAGACUAGAGUGCGGUAGGGGAGACUGGAAUUCCUGGUGUAGCGGUGAAAUGCGCAGAUAUCAGGAGGAACACCAGUGGCGAAGGCGGCUCACUGGCCCGAUACUGACGCUGAGGCACGAAAGCGUGGGGAGCAAACAGG
rnacentral:rRNA from 1 species